rnacentral:rRNA from 1 species
GGGUUGUGAGGUUAAGCGACUAAGCGUACACGGUGGAUGCCCUGGCAGUCAGAGGCGAUGAAGGACGUGCUAAUCUGCGAUAAGCGUCGGUGAGGUGAUAUGAACCGUUAUAACCGGCGAUUUCCGAAUGGGGAAACCCAGUGUGUUUCGACACACUAUCAUUAACUGAAUCCAUAGGUUAAUGAGGCGAACCGGGGGAACUGAAACAUCUAAGUACCCCGAGGAAAAGAAAUCAACCGAGAUUCCCCCAGUAGCGGCGAGCGAACGGGGAGGAGCCCAGAGCCUGAAUCAGUGUGUGUGUUAGUGGAAGCGUCUGGAAAGGCGCGCGAUACAGGGUGACAGCCCCGUACACAAAAAAAAAAAAAUGCACACAUUGUGAGCUCGAUGAGUAGGGCGGGACACGUGGUAUCCUGUCUGAAUAUGGGGGACCAUCCUCCAAGGCUAAAUACUCCUGACUGACCGAUAGUGAACCAGUACCGUGAGGGAAAGGCGAAAAGAACCCCGGCGAGGGGAGUGAAAAAAGAACCUGAAACCGUGUACGUACAAGCAGUGGGAGCCUCUUAAUGGGGUGACUGCGUACCUUUUGUAUAAUGGGUCAGCGACUUAUAUUCUGUAGCAAGGUUAACCGAAUAGGGGAGCCGAAGGGAAACCGAGUCUUAACUGGGCGCUAAGUUGCAGGGUAUAGACCCGAAACCCGGUGAUUCAGCCAUGGGCAGGUUGAAGGUUGGGUAACACUAACUGGAGGACCGAACCGACUAAUGUUGAAGAAUUAGCGGAUGACUUGUGGCUGGGGGUGAAAGGCCAAUCAAACCGGGAGAUAGCUGGUUCUCCCCGAAAGCUAUUUAGGUAGCGCCUCGUGAAUUCAUCUCCGGGGGUAGAGCACUGUUUCGGCAAGGGGGUCAUCCCGACUUACCAACCCGAUGCAAACUGCGAAUACCGGAGAAUGUUAUCACGGGAGACACACGGCGGGUGCUAACGUCCGUCGUGAAGAGGGAAACAACCCAGACCGCCAGCUAAGGUCCCAAAGUCAUGGUUAAGUGGGAAACGAUGUGGGAAGGCCCAGACAGCCGGGAUGUUGGCUUAGAAGCAGCCAUCAUUUAAAGAAAGCGUAAUAGCUCACUGGUCGAGUCGGCCUGCGCGGAAGAUGUAACGGGGCUAAACCAUGCACCGAAGCUGCGGCAGCGACACUAUGUGUUGUUGGGUAGGGGAGCGUUCUGUAAGCCUGUGAAGGUGUGCUGUGAGGCAUGCUGGAGGUAUCAGAAGUGCGAAUGCUGACAUAAGUAACGAUAAAGCGGGUGAAAAGCCCGCUCGCCGGAAGACCAAGGGUUCCUGUCCAACGUUAAUCGGGGCAGGGUGAGUCGACCCUAAGGCGAGGCCGAAAGGCGUAGUCGAUGGGAAACAGGUUAAUAUUCCUGUACUUGGUGUUACUGCGAAGGGGGGGACGGAGAAGGCUAUGUUGGCCGGGCGACGGUUGUCCCGGUUUAAGCGUGUAGGCUGGUUUUCCAGGCAAAUCCGGAAAACCAAGGCUGAGGCGUGAUGACGAGGCACUACGGUGCUGAAGCGACAAAUGCCCUGCUUCCGGAAAAAGCUCUAAGCAUCAGGUAACAUCAAAUCGUACCCCAAACCGACACAGGUGGUCAGGUAGAGAAUACCAAGGCGCUUGAGAGAACUCGGGUGAAGGAACUAGGCAAAAUGGUGCCGUAACUUCGGGAGAAGGCACGCUGAUAUGUAGGUGAAGCGACUUGCUCGUGGAGCUGAAAUCAGUCGAAGAUACCAGCUGGCUGCAACUGUUUAUUAAAAAACACAGCACUGUGCAAACACGAAAGUGGACGUAUACGGUGUGACGCCUGCCCGGUGCCGGAAGGUUAAUUGAUGGGGUUAGCGGCAACGCGAAGCUCUUGAUCGAAGCCCCGGUAAACGGCGGCCGUAACUAUAACGGUCCUAAGGUAGCGAAAUUCCUUGUCGGGUAAGUUCCGACCUGCACGAAUGGCGUAAUGAUGGCCAGGCUGUCUCCACCCGAGACUCAGUGAAAUUGAACUCGCUGUGAAGAUGCAGUGUACCCGCGGCAAGACGGAAAGACCCCGUGAACCUUUACUAUAGCUUGACACUGAACAUUGAGCCUUGAUGUGUAGGAUAGGUGGGAGGCUUUGAAGUGUGGACGCCAGUCUGCAUGGAGCCGACCUUGAAAUACCACCCUUUAAUGUUUGAUGUUCUAACGUUGGCCCCUAAUCGGGGUUGCGGACAGUGUCUGGUGGGUAGUUUGACUGGGGCGGUCUCCUCCUAAAGAGUAACGGAGGAGCACGAAGGUUGGCUAAUCCUGGUCGGACAUCAGGAGGUUAGUGCAAUGGCAUAAGCCAGCUUGACUGCGAGCGUGACGGCGCGAGCAGGUGCGAAAGCAGGUCAUAGUGAUCCGGUGGUUCUGAAUGGAAGGGCCAUCGCUCAACGGAUAAAAGGUACUCCGGGGAUAACAGGCUGAUACCGCCCAAGAGUUCAUAUCGACGGCGGUGUUUGGCACCUCGAUGUCGGCUCAUCACAUCCUGGGGCUGAAGUAGGUCCCAAAGGGUAUGGCUGUUCGCCAUUUAAAGUGGUACGCGAGCUGGGUUUAGAACGUCGUGAGACAGUUCGGUCCCUAUCUGCCGUGGGCGCUGGAGAACUGAGGGGGGCUGCUCCUAGUACGAGAGGACCGGAGUGGACGCAUCACUGGUGUUCGGGUUGUCAUGCCAAUGGCACUGCCCGGUAGCUAAAUGCGGAAGAGAUAAGUGCUGAAAGCAUCUAAGCACGAAACUUGCCCCGAGAUGAGUUCUCCCUGAGACUUAGAGUCUCCUGAAGGAACGUUGAAGACGACGACGUUGAUAGGCCGGAUGUGUAAGCGCAGCGAUGCGUUGAGCUAACCGGUACUAAUGAACCGUGAGGCUUAACCUUACAACGCCGAAG